rnacentral:rRNA from 1 species
AUGAAAACAAGAUUCAGUAUGAGCGAUCUCGGGCUUCUUAGUUACUAUCUUGGGAUAGAAGUGAAGCAAUCAGCUCGGGGAAUUGCCCUAUGUCAGUCAGCAUAUGCAGCUAGAAUUCUGAACAAGAUGGGGAUGCAGGACUGCAAUCCAAUUCACACUCCCAUGGAGGCGAGGUUAAGGUUGACUAAGUCCAGUAAAGCAUUAGAGGUUGAUCAUACUCAGUAUCGUAGCGUGGUUGGGAGCCUUCGCUAUUUGGUCCACACUCGACCAGACAUAUGCUAUGCUGUUGGUUAUGUCAGUCGGUUUAUGGAGAGGCCCACGACUGAUCACAUGGCAGCAAUCAGGCACAUCCUGAGGUAUGUGAAAGGAACUCUGAACCUUGGAUGUUUUUAUGAGAAAGGAGCUGGAGAGAAUCCACAACUUCUCGGAUAUUGUGACCGUGAUUUAACUGGGGAUGUGGAUGACCGCAAGAGCACUACAGGCAUGAUCUUCUUCCUGGGUGGGAGUCCAAUUACAUGGGCAACGCAAAAGCAGAGAGUUGUGGCUCUAUCGUCUUGUGAAGCCGAAUAUGUAGCAGCCGCAUCAGCUGCAUGCCAAGCAGUGUGGCUAGCUCGGCUCCUUGGAGAAUUGUUGAACAGGGAGCCGGACAGAGUAUUGCUGAAGGUUGAUAACCAAUCAGCAAUUGCAUUGUGCAAAAACCCAGUGUUCCAUGAGAGAAGCAAGCAUAUAGACAUUAGAUAUCAUUAUGUGAGAAGCUGUGUCGAAGAAGAGCAAAUCUCAGUGGAACAUGUCAGAACAGAGGCGCAACUUGCUGACAUAUUGACCAAACCAUUAGCAAGGGUGCGGUUUCAGGAAAUGAAGGAGAAGAUUGGGUUACAAAAUGUUUAG